rnacentral:tRNA from 1 species
GCCGCUGUAGCUCAGUUGGUAGAGCGACGCACUCGUAAUGCGUAGGUCGUGAGUUCGACUCUCAUCGGCGGCU